AGCUGAGAUCAAGAGUUGGAAACUUAACCGACUGAGCCACCCAGGAACGACCUGAAGAUGAGAAGAAGACAGCCAGCCCGAGAAAGGGCCAAAGAGCCUGCGAAGUAGUUUUCGAAGUAAAUGGAGAGUGCAGAGAUCUGAGGAGGCGAUCCCUUUAGUCUGCGUGGACUGAUGUGCCGAUGGAAGUACCAGAUUGCGUUUAUAAUCAGAGGAAAGCCUGCUUCUGCUUCUCCCAGCACCAUUUUGUAUUCAAGAGUGUAAUGAGUGUUCUGGAGUGAGUGCCUGGGAGCAUGGCUCUCACCAAACCUGGAGAAGAAUAUGUGAAGAGGAGAGUUCUUCUGGGGUGUUCUAUGAGAUUGUUCUUCCUAUCAGGACCAAAAUGGCUAAUGAGAAAUGUGGUUGUAAUGGCUUUUCCUGGCUUCUGACCUUCAAGACCUUCAAGAGGCCAUUCCGUGCCCUGCCUCUUGAAGAAAUUCUGGGACGAAGGAUGGUGUCUCAUCAUCCAGGCAGUGAAAAGAUCCAAGUUAGCAUACAGUGGAACAAUGAUUUCACGUGUACCCCAAUGUUUAUAGCAGCACUAUCAAUGAUAGCCAAAGUAUGGAAAG